rnacentral:lncRNA from 1 species
GUAGUGUGGGGAUAUCUGAAUCGAGUAUGUAGCCUAUUUUCUCACAGUCCAAAACAAUUUUGAGGUUUCUAAGCCAGUCCUUGUAAUUGGUUCCGGUCAGUCGGUUGGUCUCAAGAAUACGGGUCAAAGGAUUUGAAGCUGACAUUGUAUCUGCAGAGAGUAAAGAUUCUAGUUAGACUUUUGUACUUGAUCCUAAUCUGUUCUAAGGUCUUUUAGAACAAAUGUAACUCCCACUAUUUUCUCGAAUCCCUCACACUCCCCUGGUAGGGAAACGGAAAUCCCACACGACUAGGAUUUCUAGUGGGUACUGCGGUCCCACCGAUUUACAUGCCACCUCACCUAACAGUUAUUGGUGACAUAUAGAUCGAUGAAUGUACAACUCUUGUACAAUGCUUCCCAAGCAUG